rnacentral:rRNA from 1 species
CAGUAGCCGCGGUAAUACGUAGGGUGCAAGCGUUAAUCGGAAUUACUGGGCGUAAAGCGUGCGCAGGCGGUUAUAUAAGACAGAUGUGAAAUCCCCGGGCUCAACCUGGGAACUGCAUUUGUGACUGUAUAGCUAGAGUACGGCAGAGGGGGAUGGAAUUCCGCGUGUAGCAGUGAAAUGCGUAGAUAUGCGGAGGAACACCGAUGGCGAAAGCAAUCCCCUGGGCCUGUACUGACGCUCAUGCACGAAAGCGUGGGGAGCAAACAGGAUUAGAUACCCCCGUAGUCCCUGUCUCUUAUAC